rnacentral:lncRNA from 1 species
UUGUAAUACCCGGCUAGAUUCAGACAUCGGAAUUCCUACCGUCCGGGGGAGUUCGAGGAUGUCAGAGGUCUCUGGAAGGGUAAGAGAAAGUUUUCUAAAAUAUUUUCAAGUGUUUUAAAGGUUUAGUGUAGAAAAGGAUUGAGUUUUGAAGAGAUAUGGCCAAGGAGGCAUUUUGCCAUGUUCGGCCCCCUAAGGUUAAGUUCGGCCCCCGAAGGUUGCAUGGUUUUGCAUGCGAUUCGGCAGCCGAACCUGAGGCGGUUGCUCAUCUAUAAGGGCACCGAGUGGCAGAAAAAGGAGGAGGUUUCUUCUCUCCUUCUGACCUAGGUGAGGUCUUGAUCUCCUUAAAGUAUUUUCAUGGUUUUUCUUCAAAUCUUUCACGGUUUUAAUGAGUUUUACCCUUGUUUUGAAGAGUUGUGAGCUUGAAACAAGGUUUUGGAGUUUGAAGCUUUUGAAGCUUGGUUUCUCCAUAUCUUUGAGUUUGGAUCAUCUCAGCCUUUGUUCUUCAAGAGGUAAGUGUUGAUCCAUGGUUCUUAUGAUGUUUUUAUGAGUUUUGUAAAGG